rnacentral:tmRNA from 1 species
GGGCCUGACAAGGCUUCGACGGGAACGUUGACAAUUAGGCUGGCAAGCGGAGAGCUACCCGCCCAGAGUAGCAACAAAUACGUGCAAACAUAUUUGAAACAGCGAAGGCACGACUGGCGAACUUGUUCGCUCAGCCGGCCGCCGCGCCAGUAUUAGCAUAACUAAUACCGUCUUAACGGCUGAUUCCCGCUAAGCUGCUAAGGCGUCAAAACAGUGGGAUCGCUGUUUGGUUUUGAUCAGCCGGACAGUUAAAUACCGAUCAUGCUGGCAGAUGUGUUUUGUUUGUUUCAAGCACUGCCCUAAGAAUUAAACAAACUAAGCUUGUAGAGAGGCCUAAUCUGUUCGUUUUCGGACGCGGGUUCGACUCCCGCCAGGUCCACCA